AGGAUAAUGAAGGUGCAACUGAUUCCCUUUGGAAGACUGAACAGGGUAAAAAAAUGAGGCAGAGUUGAAUUGCUGACUUCUGGCUAAGCUUCAAAGGAAACUACAGUAGUUUUCAUGGGAGGACUUCAUUAUAUUUGACAGUAUAAUUCAUCAAAUAUUCCAGUGACUGUGAUGAAAACAUAGACCAUCAAUGGAGUUGUGAACCUGAUAAGACUGCACACCAAGUUGAAUAGAGGAUCAUUGACUGGACAUUGGCUUGGACUUUUAUGGAGUUGUCUUGACUUCAAAGGAUUAUUUACAAGUAAUUAUUCAUAUUGGAAGAAAGGAACUGAACACUAACUUUCUAAUUUACUUCAUCAUGUUUCUUCAAUGGUGACUGUCCAUUUGUUAAUAAAGUUAUCUUAUUGUAGAGAGUGCAGAUCUGUAAUACAAGAAGCCACACAAAUGCUAUUGGCGACUUUUGUACUCUUCUUUA